rnacentral:rRNA from 1 species
CCUACGGGAGGCAGCAGUGAGGAAUAUUGGGCAAUGGAGGCAACUCUGACCCAGCCAUGCCGCGUGAGUGAAUCAGGUUUUCGGAAUGUACAGCUCUGUCCGAUGUGACGAUGAUGACGGUAGCAUCUAAAGAAGCCCCGGCUAACUUCGUGCCAGCAGCCGCGGUAAUACGAAGGGGGCAAGCGUUAGUCGGAAUGACUGGGUGUAAAUGGAGUGUAGGCGGUUUAGUAAGAUAGUGGUGAAAUCCCAGGGCUUAACUUUGGAAUUGCCAUUGUAACUGUUAGACUAGAAUUACAGAGAGGAUAGUGGAAUACCCAGGGUAGAGGUGAAAUUCGUAGAUAUUGGGUAGAACACCAGUGGCGAAGGCGACUAUCUGGCUGUACAUUGACGCUGAGGCUCGAAAGCAUGGGGAUCAAACAGGAUUAGAUACCCCUGUAGUC